ensembl:miRNA
UGGCCCAGAGGGUCAUCGGGUUUUGGAAUGUUCUCUUAGUGCUUCGGUACCCGGAAUGUUUUCUGAUUGUUGGGCUUGGGGUUU